UUUUUCUGGCUCUUCAAGGGCAUAGUCUCAGACUUGUCAUGAAGUGAAUUCAAGCAGUGUGCCUUUGGGGAUUUGAGGGAAAGAAGAAAGGCCUGGCUGGAAAUGUGGCUGUGAAGUUGAGGAAGAAAAGGGUUCAGAACAGAAUCACCAAGUAGUAGUUCAAAGAAUGAAGUGACUGCUGAUGAUUCUUGUGAUGAAAUUGCCACUCAAGUCUCAAAUCAUAGCAAAAUAUUUCCAUGAAUUCACACUUAAAUGCACAUAAACUGUGCUGUUAAUGAAGGCACAGGGAAGAGAAAUUCUUCACAAGCUUCAUUGAGUUGAAUAUCCUAAAGAAAUAACACAUCUAAAACUCAUUCAACAUGCAGGGUAAGAAAAAAGACAAAAAGAUUUGUCAAAAAUUUGACAAAGGAAUUUCCUGCUGGUCAGAUGCUUGAAGGUCCACAGCGUCCUAUUGGGAGACCCAAAAGGAUUGAUGAUGUUGAAGAAACUGGAGGUGAAAGCAAACAUUUUUAAAGAGUGAGAAAAAAGGUCACUCGACAAUGGCAUUAACAUGACCUGACGAUACUUCCUUUUUCACUCUGGUCUGUUUUCCUACUCAUGCUGAUCUAUUAAAUGGCUACCAAGUCUCAA